rnacentral:misc_RNA from 1 species
GUUAUUGUCCCGUGAAGGACGAUUGGAAGCCGAAUAAUAUGCUUCACAGUAACGGCGUAGACAUUUUAUCACACCGAUAAGCUGAUCCACAAAAGGUUCGAGCUAAUGCAUUCAAGAGGAGCCGAUCACAGGUACCGGCAAUAAACCUCCAAGUCCAAGCUCUAUUCACAAAAGCAAAUAGAGUUGAGAAUUCCAUGACACUCAAACAGGCAUGCUCCUCGGAAUACCAAGGAGCGCAAGGUGCGUUCAAAGAUUCGAUGAUUCACUGAAUUCUGCAAUUCACAUUACUUAUCGCAUUUCGCUGCGUUCUUCAUCGAUGCGAGAGCCAAGAGAUCCGUUGCUGAAAGUUGUAUUUAAAUGCGUUAGACGCAAGAGGACAUUCUUUAAACUGAA